GACGUAGGGCGCGAGCGUUGUCCGGAUUUAUUGGGCGUAAAGAGCUCGUAGGCGGCUUGUCGCGUCGACUGUGAAAUCCCGCGGCUCAACCGCGGGUCUGCAGUCGAUACGGGCAGGCUAGAGUUCGGUAGGGGAGACUGGAAUUCCUGGUGUAGCGGUGAAAUGCGCAGAUAUCAGGAGGAACACCGGUGGCGAAGGCGGGUCUCUGGGCCUUACCUGACGCUCAGGCACGAAAGCUAGGGGAGCGAACAGG
rnacentral:rRNA from 1 species